CUUAGCGACCAUAGCGCUUUGGACCCACCUGAUCCCAUUCCGAACUCAGAAGUGAAACAAAGUAGCGCCGAUGGUAGUGUGGGGUUUCCCCAUGUGAGAGUAGGACAUCGCUAGGC
rnacentral:rRNA from 1 species